rnacentral:rRNA from 1 species
GGAUGGGACCUGCGAUGCAUUAGCUAGUUGGUAAGGUAACGAGCUUACCAAGGCGAUGAUGCAUAGCCCGAGUUGAGAGACUGAUCGGGCCACAUUGGGACUGAGACACGGGCCCAAACUCCUACGGGAGGCAGCAGUAGGGGAAUCUUCCACAAUGGCGAAAAGUCUGAUGGAGCAAACGCCGCGUGAGUGAAGAAGGUUUUCGGAUCGUAAAAAGCUCUGUUGUUGGUGAAGAAGGAUAGAGGUAGUAACUGGCCCUUUAUUUGACGGUAAUCAACCCAGAAAGUCACGGGCUAACUACGUGCCCAGCAGCCGCGGUAAAU